UACGAAGGUGGCAAGCGUUGUUCGGAUUUACUGGGCGUAAAGCGCGUGUAGGCGGGUCGUUAAGUUGGGGGUGAAAUCCCAAGGCUCAACCUUGGAACUGCCUUCAAAACUGGCGAUCUGGACUCAAGCAGAGGCAAGUGGAAUUGCGAGUGUAGAGGUGAAAUUCGUAGAUAUUCGCAGGAACACCAGUGGCGAAGGCGACUUGCUGGGCUUGUUGUGACGCUGACACGCGAAAGCGUGGGGAGCAAACAGG
rnacentral:rRNA from 1 species